GACGAACCGUGCGAACGUUGUUCGGAAUCACUGGGCGUAAAGGGUGCGUAGGCGGUCGGGUAAGUCUGACGUGAAAUCUUCAAGCUCAACUUGGAAACUGCGUCCGAUACUAUUCGGCUAGAGGAAUGGAGGGGAGACUGGAAUACUUGGUGUAGCAGUGAAAUGCGUAGAUAUCAAGUGGAACACCAGUGGCGAAGGCGAGUCUCUGGACAUUUCCUGACGCUGAGGCACGAAAGCCAGGGGAGCAAACGGG
rnacentral:rRNA from 1 species